AUUUUUCAGCAGAGCAUAUUCUAAAAUGGGAAGGAUUCAGAGAAGAUUAGCAUAGCCCUGCGCAAAGAUGACGCAAAUUCCUGAAAUUACCCAUAUUUCU
rnacentral:snRNA from 1 species